rnacentral:rRNA from 1 species
AGUGAACGCUGGCGGUAGGCCUAACACAUGCAAGUCGAACGAAAGGACAGUAAGAGCUUGCCCUUACGGGUAGCGAGUGACGGGCGAGUGAGAAAUACAUAGGAAACUAAUUAUUCGUGGGGGAUAACGGAGGGCAAGAUACGAUACUACAGAAUACGACCUACGGGAGAAAGCAAGGGAUAUUCGGACCUUGCGCGAUUGAAAGAGCCGGAGUCGGAUUAGCUAGUUGGCGGGGUAACGGAACACCAAGGCUACGAUACGUAGCUGACCUGAGAGGAUGAUCAGCCACACUGGAACUGAGACACGGUCCAGACUCCUACGGGAGGCAGCAGUGGGGAAUAUUGGACAAUGGGCGCAAGCCUGACCCAGCCAUGCCGCGUGGGUGAAGAAGGUCUUCGGGUUGUAAAGCCCUUUUGUUGGGAAAGAAAAGCUGCAUGUGAAUACCCCCCUGUUCUGACGGUACCCAAACAGAAAGCACCGGCUAACUUCGUG